UACGUAGGUGGCAAGCGUUGUCCGGAUUUACUGGGCGUAAAGAGCGCGCAGGCGGUCGUUCAAGUCGAGUGUGAAAGCCCCCGGCUCAACUGGGGAGGGUCAUUCGAUACUGAUCGACUCGAAGGCAGGAGAGGGAAGCGGAAUUCCCGGUGUAGUGGUGAAAUGCGUAGAUAUCGGGAGGAACACCCGUGGCGAAGGCGGCUCUCUGGGACGGUACUGACGCUGAGACGCGAAAGCGUGGGGAGCGAACAGG
rnacentral:rRNA from 1 species